rnacentral:lncRNA from 1 species
UUGCUGAAAAGCUGCUCGAUGCUGGCAUCAGCAAGAGUUUGAAAGAGACGAAGACAAAGAUUGAAAAUCUAGCAAACAAGCACAGAGACAUCAACAAAAAAAGGGCACUGGGCAAGGACGUAUCACUUGGCCCUAUUACUGGGACAUCCACAAUUUCCUCAAUGCCCUGCCAAUGAAUGACCAGCGGGAAAUGCUGGAAAGCCAGUGCAACACUGUGGAGGAGAUCAUCCACCAAAUGGAGAAUGACCACAGAAGCCGAGACGACGGGGACGCACCCGCCAACAUGAAUGAGGAUAUGCCAUAUCCUACGCAGGAUGACGCAUAUGAAACAUCAUCAGAAACUUCGUGUCGUGCGCUUUCAUCUCCUGUCGAAGAAGCUGGACCUUGACAAACUGGGACUCCCCAGCAAAAUGCUUGUCGCCAGAGCUUACCGGGGCCUCGCGAAAGGAGAAUGAGGCAGCCAUCAAAUGCAAAUCUGCUUGCGCAGCUCAUUGAGGAGCAACGGCAGCUGCGUCUAUGUCUAGAAAAAGGCAUGGAGAAAGAAGAAAAGUUCAGAGAGAAGCAGAUUCAGCUGCAGGAAGAAAGUGCGCAGCGUGACAAUUUAUUUUUGUCGUGUUUGCGGGAUUUGGGCAAAAAGUAAAUGUUCAAUGCCAGCAUGUC